rnacentral:lncRNA from 1 species
CCCCUCACUAGGUCUCCACCUGAUGCCUCCCCGCAGAGCAUCCACGGGGUGAUCUACGGCCUCCGCGGCCAGAUCUCAGGCUCCGGCCUCACCGCCAGUUUCCCAGCCUCUCCCCCUUCUCCGGCGGUGGUGGUUGGCGCGGAGCAAUUCGACCUACUGGUGCAGCAGGUCAGAGGCCUCACUGAAGUCGUGCAGGCCAUACAACAGCAGCAGCAGCCGUAGGCAUCAG